UACGGAGGGUGCAAGCGUUAUCCGGAUUCACUGGGUUUAAAGGGUGCGUAGGUGGGAUGGUAAGUCAGUGGUGAAAUCUCCAAGCUUAACUUGGAAACUGCCGUCGAUACUAUCAUUCUUGAAUCUCGUGGAGGUAAGCGGAAUAUGUCAUGUAGCGGUGAAAUGCUUAGAUAUGACAUAGAACACCGAUAGCGAAGGCAGCUUGCUACACGAGUAUUGACACUGAGGCACGAAAGCGUGGGGAUCAAACAGG
rnacentral:rRNA from 1 species